AAGCUUCUAGUCCUUCUCUUGCAAUUCACGACUUCACCUUCCUCUCCGCCAUUCUAUCCUUACCGACGGUGAUUGUGGGCACUUGUCGUUGCCUUGCAAAGAUUGAAUCCUCCACUGUCCUCCCCGCUUCUGUCUCAUCUUCUCCAUUCGCUAUUCUACCUCCUCCCCUCAUGGUUGUGUCAUUGCUGGUGUGUGGGAGCUGACGCGUGAGAGCUGAAUCACCAAGGCUGAGAUUUACUAAGAUGACGUUGGACCACCUGCCGAUCACUGAGGGGCUUAUGAUUGUGCUAGGUUUUAAAACAUUGAAAAAUAUAGAAAAAGAGGAAGAGAAAAAUUUUCCAGCAAGAAGAGGAACAUGAACAAGAUACAAGGAAAGAAAAAUGAAGAUGAGGAGGGGGAAGGAAAGGAGAUAACACAUGUAUGUUGUGUUACAUAUAUUAAAUUGAUAAGUAAAAGUUCAU